CCUACGGGAGGCAGCAGUAAGGAAUAUUGGUCAAUGGACGCAAGUCUGAACCAGCCAUGCCGCGUGAAGGAUUAAGGCCCUCUGGGUUGUAAACUUCUUUUAUAGGGGACGAAAAAAGGGCAUUCUUGCUCACUUGACGGUACCCUAGGAAUAAGCACCGGCUAACUCCGUGCCAGCAGCCGCGGUAAUACGGAGGGUGCAAGCGUUAUCCGGAUUUACUGGGUUUAAAGGGUGCGUAGGUGGGUUGGUAAGUCAGUGGUGAAAUCUUCGAGCUUAACUCGGAAACUGCCAUUGAUACUAUCAAUCUUGAAUCAUCUAGAGGUAAGCGGAAUAUGUCAUGUAGCGGUGAAAUGCUUAGAUAUGACAUAGAACACCAAUUGCGAAGGCAGCUUACUAUGGAUGUAUUGACACUGAGGCACGAAAGCGUGGGGAUCAAACAGGAUUAGAUACCCUGGUAGUCCACGCCCUAAACGAUGGAUACUCGACAUUUGUGAUAUACUAUAAGUGUCUGAGCGAAAGCAUUAAGUAUCCCACCUGGGAAGUACGACCGCAAGGUUGAAACUCAAAUGAGUAGAGCGNGAGNGNGCGACGACGACGACGAGGGAGGAGG
rnacentral:rRNA from 1 species